rnacentral:rRNA from 1 species
CCCUUAGACGUUCUGGGCCGCACGCGCGCUACACUGACCAGUGCAACAAGCAUCCGUCCUUGGCCGACAGGCUCGGGCAAUCUUUGAACGCUGGUCGUGAUGGGGAUAGACUUUUGCAAUUUUUGGUCUUCAACGAGGAAUUCCUAGUAAACACAAGUCAUCAACUUGCAUUGAUUACGUCCCUGCCCUUUGUACACACCGCCCGUCGCACCUACCGAUUGAAUGGUCCGGUGAAGCCUCCGGAUUGGCGCGCACCUCGGUGCCGCCGAGAAGUUGGCUAAACCUUACCAUUUAGAGGAAGGUGAAGUCGUAACA